rnacentral:lncRNA from 1 species
GGGACAGCGAGCGUCCUGUCGCUGUGGGCUCAGGAGCGCAGUUGCACCACUUCUGCAGAUUUGGGUGCUCACGGGCAGGCUGUCUGAGCCUGAGCCGCUUGUCCGAUUGGUACCGUCUGGCCCGACUUCAUAGGGUGGACGUGAAUGAAACCCGGAUGGAGUAUAAAAACCACUUCAUCAGUUUUGUUCCUUUUCUUCCCCCUCGCCCGUCCUGUUUCAGAAAUGUUCUUUUGGGUCCAGAGUCUGGGUACACAUGAGUGCAAAUCCUCACCCAUUCACAAAUAAGCCUAGGAAUCUCCACCGAGAGGAUCACUUCUCUGUAGGCCGUUAGCCCAGGUAAUUAUUUUUUAAGCCAACAUCUAAGAUGGUUUUCAAUCCCUGAAUAGGUGUCAGGCACCGGAGUAAAAAUAUGCAAAGCAGAUCCGUGCCCCAGACUCACAAUUGGUGGGGAGGCAGCAAAUGUGUGGUAGAGGUGGGAGGCAAAAAGUGAACAGCUCGACUCAGCGCAGGCAAGUGCCCUGAGAUGUGCAAAGUCCUGAGAGGGUAGGCGCGUCAGAGUGGAAGGGAGAGGAUGGGUCAGAUAAGCCCUCAGAUGUGAUGACGUACAGGGAUUGAUUGCACACGGGAGGCUCUCAGAUUUUCUCAGAAUCACUGCUGAGGUGUUUUUAAAAAACCGAAUCUGAGUGGUAUUUAUUUCAUCUUUUUUUGAAGUUCCUUUGCUGAGUCUGAUGUGCGUUGAGGGUUGAGCGCCAGGCAGAGCUGCGAAGGUUGGGUGUUCAGUGUGAGUUUCUCUGAAAAUAGGAAAGGCCAAACACCCUGCCCCAUUUUAGGAAGAGCGGUGGGGGGGGGGGGACCGCGAGAGAUGCCGAAGCCCCAUAACGGAGGGCCUUCUGCAGUGAGGUCAAAAAAUGUGAAUUUUAUCCCGAAACUGGGGGAGUUCAAAGGUCAGUUUUUGCUUUCCCCUUCCGCAGUAUGCUGGGGGAGGAAUUGGUGGUGGAUGAAAUAAGAGCCAGAAGCAUUAUUUAUUUAGGCUUCUGCAAUCCAGACAAAUGGUGAAAAUAUAUCCUAUUAAGGGGAUGGCGGCGUCGCUGGGAAUAAAGCGUAGAUACAAUUAAGGAGGGAGACUAUGGAAUUGAAGAUGGAUGCUAAGGGAGGACAUCUAGGGUCAUUGUCUUUGAAAACAAGGGACGGUAAUGUCACGAGUAGAGAGCAUAUAGGGUGAAUCACGGGUUUAAGGGAAGGAUUUCCUUCUGUCUUUGUCUUUGAGGUGCCAACUCUGUGCAGUUGGAUACUGAAUGUACCUGCGAGACUGUAGGCUAGGCUGGAAUUGUUGUCGUUUAUUGAGUGCCUGAAUUACAGCUAAGUGUCGCACUGAGAGAGAGUUUUACAUACUUUCUUCCGUUACAGGUAGUAAUGGAAAAAGUGGUUUGAAUUAGGUCACCCAGAAAGAGAAAUGGGAUGGAGAGUCCUGAGGCAAGCCUUUGGAAACUGAUAUUUGAAGGGGAACAAAGGAAGACGUGACCGUGAAGGAGAUUGGGUAGAGGAAGUGAAAGGAGAAUGGUGUGCUGUCUUAGCUAAAGAACGCAUGGUCAGAAUUUUUAUAUGCUUUAGAGGAGGCAGAGAAAAACUCUGUUGGAUUUGGUGAUACAGAGAUGACUAGGGACUCUGGGAAAACAUGCAGUGAAACGUAAGGGUAGAAGCCAGAUUGCCAGGGAGCUAUUAAGCGGACAAAUCCAGAUUACUUUUGCAAGACGUUUAGCUCGGUAAGGUAGAGGAAAGUGAUUGUCGUCUGAGGUGUCUGGCCAGCUAAUACUGAGAAAUGAUGUCCCCGAGGCAGGUCUUUGGAAAGUCGGUCUAUAGCCCUGGAGAAGCAUUCUGUGUUAGUGACGAAUCAGUUCUCCUGCUGAGGCUCCCAGGGUGGCUCUUGACGUCUGCUCUGCAGCUUGAGGGUUCCUCGGGCACCAGCAUCUGUGGCUCAGUCGUAGUUCCAAGCAGUUAAAACCGGAUGAAAUGAACAAAACUCAGGCCUUCCAGAAGGACUGAGUUGGGCAAAAACUUCAAGGAUUUAUGGUCAUGUACCAACAGAUUUUCUCCCAAAAGAAAAACUACUUUAUAUAUAUACCCCAUUUAGACGCUCGGGCCAAUGAUAAUUUUAGAUUUGGGGGUGUGACCACCCAUUUAUGGCCUUUGCAGAGGAAUCUGGAAACACUUUCUGUUGUUGACAUGCUCUAUAGCACUGUUUUCUGUAUUCUAGACUCCGUGGUACCCAUCUGUUAUAUAUAUGGCAAGCAAGAAAAUUUAGUUCUGCUUUCGGGGGUGUGGAAGGAAAUAGGCUAGCUCUGUGAGUGAGUGAAAUACAGAAGUCUCCUUAAUGUUCUUAGUAGAAAGUUUCUUUCUUUUUUUUUUUAACUGGUAAUUAUUUUAAAGUCACAGCAUUUUAUUUGUACUUCAGACCCUAAUUUUUUUUUCAAAGUUUUCGAUUGACUGCAGAAAUCCUGCUUGAGGCAAGUGAGGUUUGAGAAUUCUCCAGAGUUUCACUUUCUGUUCUUAGAUCUGCUUCUCAGUUCACUCCCCACACUGAAAUAGAUCACUGGAAAAAACAGUUUGUGAAGACUUUUAACUUAUAAUAUUAUGAUAUUGGCCUUUUAGAGUUAACACACUCUGCUUUGAAAAACAUAAUUUUGUAUUCUGCAAAGCUAAUGUGUUACUUGGUAUUCCCUAGUUUGCAGCCCCCUUGCACAGGGUGGGUAUUAGUAAAAUCUAAUGGAAUUAGAAUUAGUGUUUAGGAAAGGGCAGGAUUCUCCAGCUGAGCCAGCGUGCUUUUUUUUAUUUUUCAAAUGAGGAUUGUGUAACUCAUUUUUUUGCUCUUCAGGAAACUCCUAAUCUAGGAUGUAGUGAGCUUUUCUUCUAAAUGGGUUUCCAUACCUCCUUUUGAGUGUUGUUUUCUCUGUGUUUUCUAAAUGUCCAUUUCUGUAUGUCGUCCUUAGCUUUAAUGUUGAAAGCCACCCUGAGUUCUUUUUAGAAGGGUGAAGAAAGCGUACAAUUAAUAGUUAAUCUUAAAAAUUCACAAGACAGAUGCACGUAUUCGAUUUUACUUGUGCGUUUAUGUAUAAUUACUUAAUCAUGGAAGUAAGAAGAAAAUAAGGGAUUUUUUUUUUAAAACCAGCUUAUUUUAGGAUCUGGCAUUACGCCAAAAAAGCCUCAGCAGUGAAAUAAAAUUUCCGUCAAGGUGUCAUUGAUUUCCCGUUAGCAGACGUUUUGCGCUCUUCAAUUUUAUGAUGAUGAUGCAUUUGAAAACGUCACGCUGCUGGGUUUCUGUACCCAGGUAUUCAAUGACUUGGGUCAUUUUUCUUAAUCUUUUAUUGUUUCUUCUCCCUCCCUGAGAGGAAACUUUAGACCUUUCUACCGCAUGCAUUUCCCCUUAAUUUUAAACCACCAAUACCUUGUAUAUCCUUUAUGUACUUUAGACAUCUUUGUGCUUUACACGUUAAAAAAAAAAAAAAAAAAAAGCAAGAUUUUUUUUUUUUUUUGUGUCCCACUAACCAGUUUUCAUCUCCUUGAGGAUGAUUUCACCCCUGAUGACAAUGCAUGAGUUAGGUCCAUCCACUUAGGAGACGGGCUUAGUUUUUAGUGUACAGUCUGCAGUGGGGGUUGUAACUUUUUCCCCUUGAAGCUUGUAUCUUACAUCCGUUGGAUAGUUCAUUUCCAUCCGUUUCUGAAGAUCAGGCUCAUUAGAUAUUUUCCUGGCCCAGUUCCCAAUGACUGAUCAUUUUCAUAGGAAAGAAGACUUGCUUCCUUCCUCCUGGGUGUGGUUUUCUUCCUUUUGUUACAGACUGGCUGACAGCUGUUUAGAUCUUUUUGACUUUGGGCCGGUGGGUGUUUCUCCUGGGUUGCGGGUUUUGGGGUAGCUAGCAUACUGUCCAGAGCGGAAGUUCCUUCCUCAGUACCUCACGUGGGGGGCUGUCAACUCCUGUGAUGUUGACCCUGAUCACUUGGUUGAGGGUGUGUUUGCCAGGUGUGUCCGCCGUAGUGUUACGGUAUCUCCCUUUCCACACCCUCUCCAUGGGCCUUGUGUCACCAAGUCCGGCCCACACUCAAGAUGGGGUGGGGUUAAGCUCCGCCUCUGGGAACCCAGAGCGUCUAUAUGUAUCGUUGUGAGUUCUUCUGCGCGUCCGGUUGGUCCCCCAUCUUUUGUUCAUUCAUCCAGUCGUUUCUGUCUGUACGGAUUCAUGUGUGUCUAGACUGAGGGUUAGAAUCCACAGAUUGCAGUGGGUGUUUUGGUUUUUGUUUUUGAUCAAAUUGUCUCAGCUUUGGCCAUCCAGAGCUCUUUCGGGUUGGCCCCUGUGUUCCUGUGACAUGCCCGAGCCCUUUUGUGUUUUGAGUACUUUGAGGUACGUCCAGGCUCACCGCGUGUCCUUGUUGAGCCGUAACACACUGCUUACUGAUUGUGAGCUUUGUAUUUACUUUCACCUCCAUUUAGUGUGCGAUGCAAAUACAGCGUCUUCUCUUUAUUACACCUCGUUGGAGCUGGAGAGCUCUUUGGAUUUGGGCUUCCGUCCUGUUUGCUCAUCCACAGGGUUUCGUGCUGUUUGUAGUGCUGAUGAACCUCUGCCUCGUUAGUACGUCUUCAUUUAAACCUCCGACACCUGUGCUUCCUGGGCUUUUCGCUUGUUUCCUGGGACCUUCCUGUUUGCUCUUUUUGAGAUUGCUAGGAUUUGGACAAUUAUCCUAUCUGGACCCUUUCUGGUGAGUUUGGAUGGUGGAGUCUCUGGUAUUACCACACAGACAGAAGGUGGGAGAGCUCAAAGAUUGUACUUAGUAGCAACAGGUUGUUAACAUUUUAGCUGUUACAGUUGACAGCGCAUUGACGAGCAGUGCAGCGGUUCAUGCACACGUAUGUGCAGAUUCAUGCGUCUGUACUUUCUAACCCAGACAGAGGUCUCUGAGUUUUUGUGACUGGUGUGGAUCAAUGCUUCCGGAUUUUUAGGUCUCCACGGAUUUCUCGAAAACAUGUCUUCGAGGAAUGUGAAAGGUUCCCUUAACUUUUGACUUGGCUCCAGUACAUCACGAGAACACUCCAAAAGCUAUACUUUGAAAGCACUGGUACGUCUUUGUCUCCGUGGUUCAACGUCAGUAACACGUGGUCUUGAGCUUCCUGUGUAGCACAUCCGUGUGUUGCAUGCUGGUGGGUUUGGAUUGCUUUGGUUUGGUUUUUGUGCUAGCAAAGAGCUUUCGUUUCCUCGUAUUUCUUACGUGCCAAAGAUGAAGUUUUUAAGAGGAGGCUCAGAUUUGAGUUGACCCAGUUGAUAAGCCGGCCGGCGGACCAUCCUUGAGGUGGCGGGGGGCACAUUCUGAGUCGAAGGGGAGGGUCACAAGGAAAGGCCCGAAGUGUCAUUUUUCGGGAGUCUUCAGGUGUCGUCUUUUCUGGGUACAGGGGCAGAAUGAGCACAUGUUGUUGGUGUACGCCCGGUGGUAUUUCCACCGCUGACUUCCUCAAGCGCUAUGCGUCCAGGACCCACGCCGGGGAAUUUCAGACAGCCGACGAAGACCUCUGCUACUGCCUGGAGUGUGUGGCCGAGUACCACAAAGCACGCGACGACCUGCCCUUCCUGCAUGAGGUAACGUGCGCCGGGUGGACGGUACGCUUCAGAGCUCGAUAACUAGGGGGACGAGAAACCCGAACUCGGCUAGGUGCGUUCGGGAAACAGGAUUGACUGAUGAGACGGAAUUAAAACCUCAGCCGACUUUCGUGAUCCCUCGCUUUCAGUCAUUGGGAUCUAAAACAAUUGGGUGAGAUGAUGUAUGGGGUUUGUUUUUUGUUUUUUUGUUUCCAGUUUGUUCUUUACGUCGGUAUAUCUGACAGUGUUACAUUGUUUUUUUUUUCUUGUUUUUCACGCCCGUGUAUUUGACAGUGUUACAGUCACGGGUCUGAAUGGCUUGGGUUAUUUUUUUAUUGGUGAUUCUUUUUUUCUCUUUUCAUUUUUUCAUGGGUACGUGGUGCAAACUUCUUUUUUUAAAACAUUUUUUUAAAUGUUUUAUUUAUUUUUGGGAGACAGUGGGAGCGGGGAGGGGCAGAGAGAGAGAGGGAGACACAGAAUCUGAAGCGGGUUCCAGGCUCUGAGCUGUCGGCACAGAGCCGGACGCGGGGCUUGAGCCCUCGAACCGUGAGAUCAUGACCUGAACCGAAGUCGGACGCUUAACCGACACCCAGGCGCUCCUCGUUCCCUUUUAAAUAGCUGAUAAAGCAUAGUGCUAUAUUUAUAGUAAAACUUUAUGAAAGUGGUUUUUGCACACCUCAUGUCAUAUGUGCCUCAUACAUCAUAAAAGUGGCCACGUUUAGUGACUUUUCUUCAAAUGAAUCUAAUGUGGUAGUCUACUUCUUGAAACUUCUGAAGUUUUAUACUUAGGGGAAGGCUUUCUAAAAAGAUCGUGACAUCCAGUAUUUUUGGAUAAUAAGAUAUAAAGCUUACCUCCCAAUUUUUUUUCUCUGUAGGUUUUGUGGGAAUUAGAAACCUUACGUCUCAUAAAUCAUUUUGAAAAAUCCAUGAAGGCAGAAAUUGGAGACGAUGAUGAAUUGUACAUAGUAGACAACAAUGGAGAGGCACAGCUGUUUGACUUCACUGGCCAAGACUUUGAAAAUAAGCUUCGAGUUCCUCUUCUUGAAAUCCUGAAGUAUCCGUAUCUGCUUUUACACGAGCGUGUUAGUGAGUAUCUUGGGUGUUCUACAAGUUUAAUCAGUCUUAUUUUAAGAAUUGCAGGAACUCCCGUUUUAUCUGUAUUGAACAUCCGUUAAACAGAUCAUUAAGAUACUUCAUCUUUUUUCCCAACAUUUUGUUGAUAGAAGUUUCCAUACACGGAGAAAAGCCAGUGAUCAGGUGAACACCGCGGACCCACCACAUGGAUUCUGCAGUUGCUCACGUCUUGCUGCAUUUGCUUUAUCACACAUUUACUCCUCUAUCCAUUCAGUUAGUUUGCAUUCUUGUAAUUUGUCCGUAGCAGAGUUCCUCAGCGUUGACACCAUGGAUGUUUUGGACUGGAUACUGCUUUGUUGUGGGCGCUGUGCUGUCCACUGUGGGAUGUUCAGCAGCCUCCCCGGCCCCUACCACCUAGAUGCCAGUAGCCCUCUGCUCUCCCCGCCGCCCCUCUUAGGACAGCCAGACCGUGUCCACAUAGUGCCACGUGUCCCUGCAGCGUGGAGAGGGCAGGGCAGGGGAGAGGCAGAAUCGUCUCUGGUUGAGAACUACUGGUCUGUAGUAAUUUUUAUUAAUUAUUAUGGCAUGGCAUAUCAUGGCUGCCUGAACUUAGGUCAUUUAUGUUUGUAUUUCUUAAUGUGAAUCUCAUAAAAGUGAAGACGUUACAUGAUCUGUCCAAUCUAACAAAAUAGCAGUACCUUUUUUUUUUUUUUUUUUCUUUUCCAAAUAACAAUACCUUUAAAUCAUUUAGUAUCUAGUCCGUAUUCAAACUUUCCCAGUACUUGCAAAAUGUGGUUUUGGCUGCUUUGUUUAAGAAUCCAUUCAGGGACCACCUAUUGCAUUGGCUCAUAUUUUGUACAUAUUUUUGAAUACAAAGUAGUCUAUUUAUACAUACACAAAGAAACUUUUUCUUUUUUGCUAUAGCCUUGACUUACUGAGACCAUAUAGUUGCCCUGUGAAAUAAUGCACUUCCUGGAUUUUUCAGAUUGCUUCCUGGUGAUGUUAUUUCACAUCUUUAUUCUCUGAAUUUUCAGUAAACUGAAAAGCACAUCUAAGGAUUUGGUUAGAUAAAUCAAUUCUUUCUAAAUAAACUGUAAGUAAAUUGUGUUUAACAUGUUAACAGGUCCGUUUUCAAACAUUUAUUAAUGAAUACUACAUCCAAGAAAAGUACAUAAAUGGUGAGUUUUUACAAACUGGACACACCUAUGUAGCCAGCACCCAGAUCAAGAAACAAAAUGUCAAUACCCAAGAGCUUCCUUUCCUGCUUUUCCAGUUAUCGACACUCUUCUGCAAAAGCCAUCCACUGUCGCUGACAAUAUUCUUUGAACUUUGACAAAGUAAAGUUGAUUCAUUAGGGGUAGGGUAAAGGUAUGAGUCUGUUCAAGACACUUCUUUUUGUGUUUUUUAUUUUUUAGAGAGAGAGAGUGAGCAAGCGAGUGCACAAACAGUGGAGAAGGGGCAGAGGGAGAGGGGGAGGGAGGAGGGAGAGAGAGAGCGAGAGGGAGAGAGAGAGACUCUCACGCAGGUUCAUGGGGCUUGAUCCCAGGACUCUGGGAUCAUGACUUGAGCCGAAAUCAAGAGGCAGACGCUCAGCUGCCUGAGCCACCCAGGCGCCCCUAUUCACGACGCUUCUGAAAGAGCCGUGUAGACAUUUCCAUAAAGCAACAGGAAUUAGAACAGUCAAGCAGGGGUGGACUUGUGGAACAAUAGACUCCCGAAAUAAACCAAGAAUAUUUGGGGAACUUAGUGUUAGAUGAUGGGAGCACGUCAAAGCAGUGGAGAAAGUGAAUUAUUCAGUAAACGAGAGUAGGACACAAUAGCCAUUUGGGGGAAAGGCUCACUUUGUCACGCCAGUACCAAGUAAGGUCCAUGUGGAUCGAAAUGUAAAAUGCUGAUGGAACUGGACUUAAAAUCAUACUUUUGAGAAGAUACCCUAUGGAUAUAAUUAUGCUAAUUAUGCCAAGGGUAAGAAAAAAAAUAUAUAUGUAUACCGGUAAAGUCACAGUAGUUCAUAGGAGCACACUAUGAUCAAUCACACAAGAUUAGUCUUCCAGGCGAGUAAAUACUGUCGUUGAACUUACGUUACCAGCAUUUUUAUGCCUCAUUUGAGAAAAAAAAGGAAAAGAACAACUUUUUAUUUACUUACAGAACAACCGAAGGAGCCAGAUUCAGGGACUCUUGAUAAGCUGAUAAGGUUUAUGUCUCAUCUUUACUGUCUUGUUUUUUCUAUUUAGACGAAUUAUGUGUUGAAGCACUUUGUCGGAUGGAACAAGCUAAUUGCUCCUUUCAGGUUUUUGACAAACAUCCAGGCAUUUAUUUGUUUCUGGUCCAUCCCAAUGAAAUGGUGAGUAUGAGUGGUAGGUGAUGAAAGGAUAUAUUUUAUUUUUGCACGUAGAGAGAGCCGUAAUAGAGGGUUUCGGUGUGUAUUUGGUCUAAAAUAUUGAACCGUUAAAAAUGUAUAAUCACACCCCUCAAAAGGUAAGCGUUUCUCGGGACCAGCAGUGCAGCAGAAACACCACGUGAUAAACGGUGGAAACCUCUAGGUCCGGGUGGCUCUUGGUAGCUGAGCACGCAGUUUCCGCCGGAUGACAGUAGCUCCGGGUGUAGUCCGGGAAAGGCCGAGAACCAGAGUCCGGGCCUGUGCACAAAGUAGACUCUCCCCUGCCUGUGAAAGAAAGCUGACAGUACGGCCAGAGGCUCUCCGGCACUGGCCUUCUAGAGCCACAUAGCAACAGAGGAAGGAGGUCCAGCCGGGCACCAGGACCCGGGCCAGGCACUCAGAUGCUUCACGACUGAGUCUGCAGGGCCCCUCCCUGAUGCGACUGGUGGUUGGCAGCCCGAGCUGCUGAUGCUAGACCGGUGCCAGAUGAGGGACACGAGAGAAAGAAGAGUUGAGAAGGUAGCGUCAGAGCUUAAUACAAAGUUGGUCGGAUGCUGUGGUAAAGCUUGUUAAUAAAAGCGGCUAAGUUCGAAGAAAGUGAAUCUAUCAAUAAUAACUUGGACGGGGUAGUAACAACGUGAUGGGGUUGGCAGGCAAGAUGUGAGAGCGUGUGGGCUAGCUUUUCAUCUUGUUAAGGGCGGAGCUAGGUAAUGAAUUACUUUAGAAGGUAAAAAAAAAAUGCAUUAAAAGAAACAGAGAAACAUGGUUCAUACAGAUAAACAGGUUUAAGAAUAUCAGUGUUUAACAUAAGUGGGCUGAAUUUGUCAGUGAAGACACAGAUUAGAUUGAAUUACAAAAGAAAAUCCGUGGUUUUGUUUCCAAGAGAAACACCUAAAACUUAGGGUGCAAAAAGGUUGAAGGAAAAACAAUAGGCAAAUACUGACCUAAUCAAAGCUGGUGGAGCUAUUGUUUUUUUUUAAUUAAUUAAUUAAUUUAUUCAUAAAAUUGUACGUCCAAGUUAGUUAGCAUCUAGUGCAAUAAGGAUUUCAGGAGUAGAUUCCAGUGAUUCAUCCCUUAUGUAUAACACCCAGUGAUCGUUCCAACAGGUGCCCUCCUUAAUGCCCCUUGCCCAUCUGGUCUAUUCCCCCCACCCACAAUCCCUCCAGCAACCCUCUGUUCUCUGUAUUUAAAAGUCUCUUAUGUUUUGGCCCCCUCCUUGUUUUUAUAUUCUUUUUGUUUCCCUUAUGUUCAUCUGUUUUGUAUCUUCACUCGUAUGAGUGAAGACAUAUGAUAUUUGUCUUUCUCUGACUAAUUUUGCUUAGCAUAAUACCCUCUCUUUCCAUCUGUGUUCUUGCAGAUGGCCACAUUUCAUUCUUUUUGAUUGCCGGGUAAUACUCCAUUGUAUGUAUCUUGUUUAUCCGUUCAUCCGUUGACGGACAUUUGGGCUCUUCCCAUACUUUGGCUAUUGUCGAUAGCGCUGCUAUGAGCAUGGGGGUGCACGUGCCCCUUCGAGACAGCAUCCCUGUAUCCCUUGGAUAAAUAUCUAGUGGUACAGUUGCUGGGUUGUUGUAGGGUAGUUCUAUUUUUAAUUUUUUGAGGACCCUCCAUACUGUUUUCCAGAGUGGCUGCCCCAGUGUGCAUUCCCACCAGCAGGGCAAAAGAGAGCCUCUUUCUCCGCAUCCUCGCCAACAUCCUCUUGUUGCCAGAGUUGUUAAUGUGAGCCAUUCUGACAGGGGUGAGGUGGUAUCUCCUUGUGGCUUUGAUUUGUGUUUCCCUGAUGAUGAGUGAUGUGGAGCAUUUUUUCAUGUGUCGGUUGGCCAUCCGGAUGUCUUCUUUGGAGAGGUGGCUAUUCAUGUCUUUUGCCCGUUUCUUCACUGGAUUAUUUGUUUUUUGGGUGUUAAGUUUGAAAAGUUCUUUAUAGAUUUUGGAUGCUAACCCUUUAUCUGAUAUGUCAUUUGUAAAUAUCUUCUCCCAUUCCGUCGGUUGCCUUUUUAAUUUUGCUGAAAGCUGGUGGAGCUAUUGUGUUGUGUCAAAUAAAAUAGACAUUUGGACGGGGAUAAGGUUGCUGUAUAAUAACAAAAAACGCAAUUUAUCGAGACUGUAGUGUUUUUAAACAAGUAGUAUGUGGCUAAAAUAGUCUCAAAAUAAAUGAUGCAGUUAUUGGUAGAACUGUAAGAAGAUAUGGUGGAUUCAUUACUGUAGAAGAUUUCACUGUACUCUUCCACAUUGAUGAAUCAGUAGACAAAAAAAAAAACAAAAACCCAAUAAGGAAUGGAAUAUGUAUACAAGGCAGUAUACAAACAGAACCUAAUGGGUAUAUAUGUGAGCUGGGCAUCUGACCAUUUUUUCAAAUAUACGUUAAACGAUAAAAGUGAUCACGUUCUAAUUUGUGAUAAAUAUUACAUGUUUCAACACAUUGCAAGGACUUAGCGUUGGCAUCGUCCCUCUCGUGAUCUCUGAUCAUAACACAAUUUAGAUAGAGGUUAAUGAAAAGAUAAAUGAGUUUCCAUAUUUUGAAAGUAGCACAUGCUAAAAAAGAAGUCAUUAAGACUUAAGCAUACCCAGAACUGAAUUAUAAUGAAGAUGCCGCAUUAAAAAAUUGUAGGAUGUGGGGCAAAAGAGUGCUUUCAGGGAAAUUUAUAUCUUUGAGUAAUUGUGGAAAAGAAGAAAGCCUCAAAAUUAACGAGCUGAUUAUUCCUCUUAAGAAGCUAGGGAACAAUGGAAUAAAAAAGAAAGUAGAAUGAAGGAGGUAAUUUCUGGAUGUGAACUCACUCACGCCUUACAGCAGCCCAGUGAGGCAGGUAAUGUAUAGAGGAGGAAACCGAGUCAGACUUGGCCACAGCCAGCCAGGCUAGUGUGGGGUGACCGGGUGUCAUACAGGCAGCCUGGCUCCAGGUCCCUGGGCCUGGUGGUUUUGCUGUUUGCUCUGCUCUCCCUUAAUCUGCACUAUCUCAGCCUUUGUCCUUUAUGACAUUUCUGAAGAGUGCGGUCAUCCCUGCCCGUCCCCCCCCCACCCCCCAAUCAGAAUGCUCCUCAUUUGGGGUUUGUCUGAUGUUUCCUUGUUGUUAGGUUCAGGUUACGCAUUCCAGCUGGAGGACUGCGUAGAAGUGAUGUUCUGUCCUCCUCAGAGUGUCACCCUCAGAGGCGCUCCUGUGUCACUUGCUCUUUGUGGUUAUGUUCAUUUUGAUUAGCCAGUCAAGGUGGUGUCCCAUUUCCUCACCGUAUAAUUUCUGUUUCUUAGCUAUGGGGAGACCACAGAAGGGCCCUGCUCCUCAGCAGAAUUUUCUCCCAAAUUGAGCGUUAACUGAUGGCUUUUGCCUGAAUCACUUUUUUUUUUUUUUGAGAUUUGCAAAAUCAUUUCCCAACCCCAGCACUCUCCACGUUUGCCGGUUAGUCCUGGACAUUGGUUCCACUAUCAUAAUCAAGAACUCUUUUCCUUUCUCCCACUUACUUGCCUGUUUAUUAUCAGUAUGGACUCAUGCAUUCCUUUGUAUGUUUUCCAAAAGCUUAAAAUUCAUUACUUAUGUUGGCAUGGAGCCAGCUCAUUCCUGUGUCCUCUAGCUCCGUUUUUCAAACUUCUGGCCAUCCACAGUAAAAAAAAAAAAAAAAAUGGUUUUCAUCGGUUACACACACACAUAUGCACGUGUCAGCUGAACAUUUCCCCAAAUCCUACUCCUGCGGGAUGCACGCUGGUCUUUUUCUGUUUUAUUUUAUUUAGCUUUUUAAGGUUGGUUGUGAGUACUAGGUUUGACUCAUAGCCCACAUGAAUUUUUAAAAUCACUUCCCUGUGCUGUAUUGCCAUUUAGAGGUGACUUUUGAUUUCUUCUGAGGCUCCGCUUUUUUUUUCCCCCCUCAACUUUCUAUUAUGGAGAAUUAUAAACAUACAAAAGUAGAACGGUGUAAUGAACCCCCUGCUGCCCAUCACUGAGCUUUCUCAGGUACCAAUAUGUGAUCGAUAUUGUGUUGCCUUUUGGAUUACUUAGAGCAAAUCUCACACAUCAGAGCAUCUUAUCCAUAAGAUACUUAAAUAUGUCUCUAAAAGAUAAGGGUUUUUUUUAAAAAAAUGAAACAAUAUCACCACUGCACCUAAAGUACUAAUUCCUUAAUGUCAUAUUUCUAAUCAGUGUUUAAAUGGAUGGAAGUAAUUAUCUAUCUCAUAAACGCUUUUUUAGGGUUUGUUCGAAUCAGGAUCAAAUAGGGUCUAAGUAUUGCAUCAUUAGUAUCUCGUGUCUUUUAAUUUUUUUUUUUUAAUCUUUAUUUUUGAGCGAGAGAGAGAGAGAGCAGGGGACGGGCAGAGAGAGAAGGAGAUACAGAAUCCGAGGCAGGCUCCAGGCUCCGAGCUGUCAGCACAGAGCCUGAUGCGGGGCCCGAACUCACCAACCGCGAGAUCAUGAGCUGAGCCCGGGUUGGACGCUUAACCGACUGAGCCGCCCAGGCGCCCCAAUAUCUAGUGUCUUUUAAAAUAGAGAAUCCUGUUUUCUUAAUUAGGUUCUUGCCGUGCAUGGAGAGUUACUUAUUGCAUGAAGUAACGAACGUGUUGUGCCUUUAGGUUCGGCGUUGGGCUAUCCUGACCGCAAGGAACUUGGGAAAAGUGGACAGAGAUGAUUAUUAUGAUCUGCAGGAGGUUUUGACUUGUCUUUUUAAAGUCAUUGAGUUGGGGCUUCUGGAAGAUCCAGACAUCUACACUUCUUCUGUCCUCGAGAAGGGUAAACUGAUUCUUCUGCCUUCGCACAUGUACGAUACCACCAACUACAAGAACUAUUGGCUAGGUGAGUGUCGUUCCUACACGAGUAUGACUGGUAGUUUUCUAUCAUUUUCAAUGAGUAUCUUGCAAAGGAAGUGGUUUCUUGGUGAUCUAAUGAAGGAUCUCAUGGUUCCCAAUUCUCGUGCUGUCAUUAAAUUGACUUAGCCAUUACAUCUCUUGUUUUGAGACUUUAUUCUAGAAACCAUCUUUGUAAGAGGUGCGUGUUCGAGGGUGGCAAAUCUUGUAUCUAAAGCAGUACUAGAUGAAACAAAACCUUGGCGUAGCGAUGGACUCUGGUAGGGUUUGAUGUAAGAGAUUUCCCCAUCUGUAAAAUAUUUCUUGGUGAAAGAGAUGCUAGCUUUGGUUUUCAGCAACCUCUACGCUGACUCAAAGUAGGUCUCCCCUGCUUCACUGAUUCUGAGUCCUACAGCCACGUGUCCUGUUUGGCAGUGAUGAGUUCUCAGAACACGGUGAUCUUAAAAUUGGAGGCAUCUUAGAGUUGAGGAGAAACGAAUUGUGUGGCAACCCUCUUUGAGACUGAUUUCUAACCAAGUUUGUACCAUUUCCCUUUUUCUGUCCAAGUCGGGCUAAAGUCCUGUUACUGGGAGCGGUGGUGUCUGAGUGUCUCAGACCUGAGUGUUGGAGGAAGCGGGUGCUGGUUUGCUUCAUUUUACUGCCUUGUUGCUCUUUUGCCAGCUAAGCCGGGGAAAGCCUCCGAACGGUGUCAUUUACUCAAGUCAGGAAAACUGUAAAUGAUCUUACAGGUAUUUGCAUGUUGCUGACCAUUCUUGAGGAGCAGGCUAUGGACUCCCUGUUGCUGGGCUCAGACAAACAGAAUGAUUUCAUGCAGUCGAUACUUCACACCAUGGAGAGGCAAGCGGAUGGUAAUAAUCUUUAUUUGGCAAAUGCUUUGGGAUGCUGCGAUGGGCCCUCUUAAAACACUAGUGUCAUUGCAAGAAUUUGGGUGUGUGGCAUGGAAAGAGGAAUGGACGUGUUUAUGGUUCAGUCACAGAUUCAGAGUUUUAAAUUGGGAAUGACCUCGAGAGUUCAGUUUCAACACUUGACCUUCAUAAAAGAUGAGACUGAAGGCCAGGGAAGUUAACUUACUUCACAUUGAAAUGCCCAGUUAGUGGUAGAAUCAAGACUAGCAAAUACCUUUCCAACGACGUGGUAGUUAAAGUUGUGGGGAAAGCCUCUCCUGUCCCUCUGUCUUCCUUUUUCCUGGUUCUUCUUCAUUUCACUUCUGUUCUCUAGGGUUCCACUGUCCAACAUGGUGACUGCUAGCCAAAUGUGGCUGUGUACAUUUAAAUUAAUUAAAAUUAACCGAAGAAUGCGGUCUUCCAGUCCCACGAGCUGUACUUUGAGUGCCCAGUAACCACAUGUACCGGGUGGUUGAUACUGAACAGUGUGGAUAAAGAUCAUUUCCCUCAUCACAGAAAGUAUUCUUGGGACAGUGCUGUUCAGAUAGUUUACAAGCUAGGGUGUAAAACCCGUAGUAAUGUUUAUUAUUAGACCCUAACUUUCUUUUGCUUGUGGUUGUGUCAGGCUGAUCAGGGAGGAUCUGUAAUGAAUGUUUCUAAUCUUGAUGAAGGAAUGAAUAGAGAUCCAGCAUGCCAGAUAUUACAAAAACAUAAUGAUAAUUUUUCUCCCACAUUCACUUCUCUUUAGGCGACUCCAAUGUGGAUAUAAACUCAGUUGUGCAAGAUUGCAGAAGAACCAUAUAAAUGUUAUUCUUUUUUUGUUCGCAUAGCUUCUCUUGCUGGGUUAUUCUCAGAGUUAUUACUAACUUGUUUUCCAGCACUUACUAUAUCAAUAGGUCAUUUCUUUGUGCCUUGCCCAUACAAUUCUGUCUUCUCUGUUAAUCCAGUUCCCCUGACUUUCAAAACGUGAGUCACGUGACCUCUCUAAGAAACCUUUCAUAACGGUCUUCACCUAAUUGAUAACUUUGUUCCUUACUUGAGAGCUUACUGGGCAUAAGACACCGUGUCAGCUGCAGGAAGGCAUGAAAAAGUGUAUGAGAAGGUCUACACAAAUGCCUAUGAUAAAAAAAAGUAGAGCUUAAGAGCCUUGAGGAAAAUAAAGCAGAAAGUUCUAGAGUGACCAGAUAACAUCAUCAGUAACUGAGUGAGCACUGUGUCAGAACAGGGCGGUAGAUCAAAUGACCAGGGAACGUUUGAUGGAGAGGGCACGUUUGAGCUGGGCUGGAAGGACGGAUAGGAUUUUGCUAGGGGGUGCCAAUAGUGAGGGCAUUCCGGGUCUUGAGGAGAAGCCAGCUGUCUGUUUGUGCUGUAGACGGGAUACGAUUACGGGGGCGUGAAAAAUAAAGCUGGAAAGAGACAGUAGAGUAGGAUCUUCCAAGUGCAUGACUGAGGACUUUGAAUCUCCUUGGGAGACAUUAAGGAGCAGUUGAAGGCCUUUGAGUAGGCAGUAUUUUGCCACUGCACAUCUGAUAGGAGGGAAAGAACUGGAGGUGAGAGCUUCUGAGUGAUGGGAAUUCCUGCCAGUUGGAUGAAAAGUAGAGAACAAAGCCACGUUGAGAUACGGUUGGAUGAAGGGUGUGUAUCCGCUUAGCCAUUAGCUAAGGGAUUCGGUCCUUUAUCGCAGCCAAAUGGCGUACAAAAUGCAGUUCGAGCUAACCCAGAAUUUCCCGUAUCACGGGCUUUGUUCAGUAGGAAGGAUGUUUCAGGUGUGGCAGACAGGGUGAGAAAGGUGAGUUUGCUUAGAGUCUCUCAGUUUGUUCCCCGUUAAAAAAUUUCUUGGAGGCAUAUAGCAUUGCUUGGGAAAAAAUGCAGAAGGAACUUUAACAUUUACCAGGUUUUUAAAGCCGGUGUGGUUGGCGCCACUUUGCGUUACAUGACUUGGUGCUUUGCUUUCAGUUUCGUGGCUCCCCAGAUAAAGCAAGCCUAACCCUCAGCCUGCUUUCAUGUCUUUGUCUAAUCGUUGCGUGAUUCAGCAGUUACUUCGUUGUAUUUCAGAUGAUAGCGUGGAUCCUUUCUGGCCAGCAUUACACUGUUUCAUGGUGAUUCUGGAUCGCCUCGGAUCAAAGGUCUGGGGUCAACGCAUCGAUCCUAUUGAGGCGUUUCAGACCAUUAUCAAUAACAUGAGCUACAAUAGAGAGAUCCAAAAUAUACGGAACAGCUCUGUAA